GGAGGCGGGGACACCACAACCGGCGCCGGCAGCUCCACGGCAAACGCCCCUCGGACGCGGUUCCUCGUUCCACUGCGAUAGAGGCGCGGAAGAGCGGUGAGUGGAUUUUACUGUUCUGCUUGGGAUUCGUGUUUCUCUCCUCAAUGCCCUCCCCACCCCCCACGGUGCCGGGGAAGAAAGGUGGGGGGAGAUCAUGGAGGCAGGGAAAAAUCAAAAGGAAAGCAGGUGGAGGGAUGGGAAAGUUUGAAGGCGUCGCUCGGGGUUAGACCAUGCCUACGAAACGCCUGGGGUGACGUUAGCUCACCGCUACACUGGACUUACUACCCAGCAACCGGGUUGGUAACUCGCCCAAACAGGGACACGGAAUACCCACGACCCUCUAUUUGAAGGAAUGCGACUUCUUUUUUGUGUCAGGAAGCUCAGUGCCACGUGCUCCCCCCCUCACCCGCUGCCAAUCCCUGCUGACAAGGCUACAGUCUUGACGGUGAUCUGAGCACCGUGCCAGUUUGAAGCUGACCUGUUUGCGAGGGGGACUGCUUCAGCCUUGUCCGUCUGCUACACACUGGAGCCAGACGAGGACUCACAGGAAUUACGGCGGGACGUGAGUUUGGAUGGGGGAGGGGAGUUUAACUCGGACUGCCGUCGUGGUGCAUGAAGCCUGGGCGGGGCCAGGGAUGUGUGUCAACGGUGAACCCUCGGCACUGGGGUAGUAACCCAGUUUCCUCCAGUGCAUCCACUGGGACCUGGUGGGUAUGCGUGUGGCAGGAGCGAGUCCAGGACCCCAAGCACGGCGCUGCUCGCUCUACGGCAGAAGGUGCCACAGACGGUUUGUGUCCUUCCCUCUCAGACCGACUCUCCAUCAGAAUAUCACGCUCAUAAUCACAGGGAGCUCCACGAUGCAUUCUGGAACAAUCCUUUUAAGUGUGGCGAUUUAAAAAAUAUAUAUAUAUAUAUAUGCCCUCUAUGUGCAACCCGUCACUCGACUUCUUUGCUCCGAACCGACCCGUUGCAGAAAUAUUGGAGUCUUUCACUCAUAACAACAUUAUCCGGGAUCUUCACAAGUGCCUAGAAUAGCAAGUGCGUUUCCAUCUCCUUCACCCCCACCCCCCAGGCUCUGGGCCUGGUAUCACGUUGAAAAGCAGGGUGGGGGGGAGGAGGGGGGUGGGGGGGAAGCAGUGUCGACUUGUGGAAUGUGUGGCGAGGGGGUAAAGAUUCAUUAGAGACCAACUGAAUAUUUCACGUCGCCAUGCAAAUAGUCAUUGAUCAGCUGCAGCCGGGACGAGACGUCUGGCCUCAAAAUAAACACCUGCAGUUACCAAACUAUGGAGAAAGAGGAAGGAAAGAGAAGGGGAGGGAGAAACAGGUUCGAUUCAGGAGCGCUCAGUGGAUACUCCCUCUCACGUGACCACUGGCCUCGUCACAAUGGCUUCCUGUUCCUGUACAAUCACUCCACCCCCCACCCCAAAAGGACAUCAGCAUUUUGACAUGUUGCCGAUGGAGUGGGCAAAAGUGCAGAGAGAGAGAGAGAGAGAAUGAGAGAGAGAGAGAGAGAGAGAGAGAGAGCGCGAGUGCAAGGGAGAGAGAAGUACUGGUUCCUUUUGAUGCCAUUCGGCCUGAAGGAUGCUCCUAUUCCCAGGACACCACAAGCAAGACUGUAGAGGACAAGGGUUUCUCCUUGGAGAAAAAGCUGGGGCGAAUGGAAAAAGGUGCAUGGAGACAGGAGAGCAGAAAAGGCUUUCUUUUGGGUAGCCGCGUUGAUUAGCUGUCCACUUGUUCUACAGAAGCUUCCAGAGGAAAGUGAGCUAUUAAAAGCACCGGCUGUUCCACAAUAUUGUAUCAUACGGCUGACAUUUCAAUCCUCCACCCCCCCCCCAACUAACCCUCAACUCUGGCCACUGUGUCCCACCCCGACUCCUAAAACUACCUCGUCAUUAUUUUCCUUUGACAUGCCGCAAACUGUAGAAUGACAGGUCGGAACAAUCGGGAAUAUGGACAAUGCAGAGGCUUGUUCGGAAGCCAGUGGGGGGAGGGGGGAGGACGGUGGUGCAGGGCGGUCAGGGUGAUCGUUAGCUGUUUGUCGUUGGGCCACGAAUGUGACUGCAAACAUUCCUGCCUUUGCCUCUCUCGCCUUUCCACUAAACCUCAAUAAUUCCACGCAAAGUUCCGCAUGCUUUUGCUACUUUAAGAGUAAGGAUAUGAGUAUACGGGACGCAGAGCGACCCCGCGCGCCAACUUGACCAUGUUGCGCGUGCAGUGUCAGGGUGUGGGGGCAUGUCCUUAUUGCAUGGCUAUUUGCUUAAGAUUCAGACUCAGGCCCGUUCCGCUUCCACCUUUUCACUGCGCCUAAUUUAAAUGCCGCCCGUUUACCGGAAUCCCCGUGUUUACAAUGAAACCGGCUGUUUGAACACAAACUUAUCAAACCCGAGGCUGCGGGGGCAGAAUUUUAAAGCGGGCGAUCCUGCACUGGCAAGAAUAAAUUUUAAAAAAUAUUAAUAAAUAAGUCAAAGACCUGGAAUAAAGAAGCAGAAAAGCAAAAAUUGGCCAGUAAAACAGGCAGAGGCGGCUUCACAUGUAGCUGACCCCCAUUCGACUGCACCCCACAUCUCGACACGGCGCUGUUCAGUUUACGCUAAGGAAUAUGGAGGGUGGCCUCAUUUGGCUGUAGCGCAGAGGGGCCACUGGGGGUCUGCGGAGAGGGACACCUGUCAGCCAGGGCCACAUAGACACUUCCACUCAUGUUCCUCACGCAAUUUGUCCUUGGAAGUGGGGGGGGGGGCUUGGCUUAAUCUGAGAGCCCACCUAUGCACCCCGCAUGCAGCCAGAAUGUCAAGUACAACAGAUGCUUAUAUUAUCCAAAAAAAAAAAAGAAAAAAAAGAAGCUCUGUUGUCCUGUUGCCCCCGACCCACUUUCAUCCCCCUCCUGCUUUCCCAUCAUGGAUGGGGGGGGGGAAGGAAUCCAGAAACACUAACAUCCUCCAACAGCUGACAAGCUGGCCCUUCCACCAAUGGCUGUGGGUGUGUGUGCGCGCGUUUGUGAGUGUGCAUGUCUGGGGGCGGGGGGGGGUGUCUUAAAAAUAUCCCCCGCAAGCGUUAAUGUCCUCCGCAGCAGAGUUGUUCCUUCACCGCCUCAAACAGGGGUUUCCAGCCGCACUGUAGUGAGCAGAGGGGAUACUGGGGAACGGCCCAUAAACAGUGGUGUACAGGAAGGGGGUUGGGGGCACACCAGAUGCCACCUCAUGCCCGCUGCUCCGCUCCCCCCCCCAGCGACGGCUUGCUAUCGAUCACACCCAGAGACGUCCCCUCUACUCUAGGGCUCGAGAAAACCACGAGUGCCCUGCGACAUUUAUCAACGUGCCUUUACUCAUGCGGCGACUGUGCUGCCCGUACGACAGAAGGUGGAUGAAUGCGCGAGAGGCGGAGGCAGGCUGGAGAGUGGGUGGAGGGCCGGGGAGGGGGGGGGCGACCGUGCACCUUCGGACGGUAAAGGUCUGCAGCACAUGCAUUCUGCAGGGGAGCAGCUUUUCUACAAAGAGAUGGUUCAGUAAAGAUGAGAUUAAUGCCCCCCCCCCCCCCAUCUCAGCCUGCUCCUCCACUCUGCAUUCUCCUGGGGGGAGUAAUGGAGGGAACCCCACGCUGCGCCCCCCCAUGUGGCAGGGGGCCCAGAGACCAGCGAUGCGCAAUGCUUUGCUAAAGCUGGUAAAAUGGAACCAAAUCACCUUUUCGAUGGAUUUGGUCCCCUUCAACCAGCUGUAGCUGCGCAUUGAUCACCACGGAAACCGGCCGUCGACAGCCAUCUUCCUCCGGCUCCUCCCGGGGAACUCCAGCACCCCGCAUCGAGGCACCUACUUGCUCCUGCCAUAAUCCUGCUGUCCCACGGCCCAGUCCCCGGGAAACGGGGCUGACGAAGGCCGGCUUUCUGCAGAGGCAGGGCCCACCCGCAUCAGCCCACUGCCCCACUCGGGACCUCGCCAUGAAUAAAGAUGGAUGGACUGAAAAACUCA